rnacentral:rRNA from 1 species
GAUGAACGCUGGCGGCGUGCUUAACACAUGCAAGUCGAACGGAAAGGCCUCAGCUUGCUGGGGUACUCGAGUGGCGAACGGGUGAGUAACACGUGGGUGAUCUGCCCUGCACUUUGGGAUAAGCUUGGGAAACUGGGUCUAAUACCGAAUAUGACCACUUCUUGGAUGUUGUGGAAAGCUUUUGCGGUGUGGGAUGAGCCUGCGGCCUAUCAGCUUGUUGGUGGGGUAAUGGCCUACCAAGGCGGCGACGGGUAUCCGGCCUGAGAGGGUGUACGGACACAUUGGGACUGAGAUACGGCCCAGACUCCUACGGGAGGCAGCAGUGGGGAAUAUUGCACAAUGGGCGCAAGCCUGAUGCAGCGACGCCGCGUGGGGGAUGAAGGCCUUCGGGUUGUAAACUCCUUUCGCUAUCGACGAAGCCACUUGUGGUGACGGUAGGUAGAUAAGAAGCACCGGCUAACUACGUGCCAGCAGCCGCCGUAA